CCUUGAUAGGGGCGUUUGGAGGUCUAGAAUCAGGAUUGUAGGCUAGGGGCUCCUAGAGUCCUUCGUUCGCAUCUCUCGGGGUUGGGUGUGGGAUACUAAGGUUACCCAUAGGUGAUUAGUGUUUUAGCUUAUGUCUCCAUAUGGUUGUUAAUAUGGUAGUUAGUGUUUGUUAUUAUUGCAUUAUUGCAUGCGACUGUAUUUAUGUUGCUUAUG
rnacentral:lncRNA from 1 species